AUACGAAAGGUGCAAGCGUUGUUCGGAUUUACUGGGCGUAAAGAGAGUGUAGGUGGUUUAUUAAGUCGGAUGUGAAAUCCCGGGGCUCAACCUCGGAACUGCAUUCGAUACUGAUAGGCUAGAGUUUGGGAGGGGUAAGCGGAAUUCCGUGUGUAGCAGUGAAAUGCGUAGAUAUACGGAGGAACACCUGAGGCGAAGGCGGCUUACUGGACCGAUACUGACACUGAGACUCGAAAGCGUGGGUAGCAAACAGGAUUAGAAACCCCAGUAGUCC
rnacentral:rRNA from 1 species